rnacentral:rRNA from 1 species
UACGGAAGGCAGCAGUGGGGAAUAUUGCACAAUGGGCGAAAGCCUGAUGCAGCUAUGCCGCGUGUAUGAAGAAGGCCUUAGGGUUGUAAAGUACUUUCAUCGGGGAGGAAAAAACAAAACUAAUAAUUUUAUUUCUUGACGUUACCCGAAAAAGAAGCACCGGCUAACUCCGUGCCAGCAGCCGCGGUAAUACGGAGGGUGCUAGCGUUAAUCAGAAUUACUGGGCGUAAAGAGCACGUAGGUGGUUUUUUUAAGUCAGAUGUGAAAUCCCUGGGCUUAACCUAGGAACUGCAUUUUGAAACUGAAAUACUAGAGUAUCGUAGAGGAAGGUAGAAUUCUAGGUGUAGCGGUGAAAUGCGUAGAUAUCUGGAGGAAUACCUGUGGCGAAAGCGGCCUCCUAAACGAAUACUGACACUGAGGUGCGAAAGCGUGGGGAGCAAACAGGGAUUAGAUACC